AGAGACAAAAUAAGAGAAAAGGAAAACAUUUAAGAGAAAAACAAGAAACGUAUAAAAAAAAACGACCACCUGUCCGAAAAAUGACAACACAACAAAGCGAAGCAAAGGAAGGGGGCGAAAAGGAAGAACGGAGAGCGCAGCCGCAAACGCAAAACGCAAAACGAAGGAAAGGAAGACCACGACAAAGAGUGAGCGAAAAGAAGGCUGAAUAAUGCAAAUGUUUUGUCGUUCGCCUUUGAGUUCGCAAAGAUCACACCACAACUCCCAUGGCUAAUAAACCUAGAGAAAAAAGAGUUUAGGAGGCGGAAACCCGAGCUCAGGAAAUGCCCAGGUAAAAGUUAUAAAACUAAUAGUUCAAUGAUCUUCAUUCAGUCGCAGCUGUAAAAAACUGUGAGUGUUCAAAUAGAGUAUGGAAGAAUGAAACUGCCUGAUGUUCACGAAUCUGAGUUCUGGUAACGAAUAUUUAAUUGCUGGAAAAUGAUCUGCAAUGAUUGAUGGAUCGUAGGACCUACAAAAUGCGAACCGAAACGAACUGGAGAAAGAUAUUAAGAAAUCCGUUGGCCUGCUGUUGUGACUGUUGAAGUUCGUGUCUCUGGUUGCGUGGCAAACUGGCCCCGCCCCCAUUGCCAGCGCCGCCCCCGUUUACAGAGGCGGCAGAAUG